UGAAAUCUCACCAGGCCCGGACACUGGAAGGAUUGACAGAUUGAUAGCUCUUUCUUGAUUCGGUGCGUGGUGGUGCAUGGCCGUUCUUAGUUGGUUGAGUGAUUUGUCUUGUUAAUUCCGAUAACGAACGAGACCUUAACCUGCUAAAUAGUGACGCGGUUCAUCGAACCGUGGGCCACUUCUUAGAGGGACUAUCGGAUUCAAACCGAUGGAAGUGUGAGGCAAUAA
rnacentral:rRNA from 1 species